AUGCUAUUUGUUCUUAUUCUGCAGUACAAUCCGUGCUGGGCUGUAUAUUUUGUGGUAGUUUUUGCUAGGUGUGGUAGCUUCUCUUAAGGAGAUUCUGGAUCCUCCUGAUUGAUUUUUCUGAGUCUGGCUGUGCUUACAGAGGAUGAUCAGAACAUUCAACUUUGGGGUGAUGAGAUGCCUUAAUAUGGUCCUGUGAAAAUGCCAGUAAAUUGUAGUUUUGCUAUUAGAUCAACGAGGCUUUGAGCCUAUUUGAUGGUGAUGGCCUGAAUUAAGAUCUCUUGUUAUCUGCCUGAGGGUUUCGGAAAAAAAAAA
rnacentral:misc_RNA from 1 species